AACAAACCAAAGAUAAAUAAGAAACUAUGUAGUUUCUCAUUUAUUUGAAAUUCAUUCCUUUCCAUGCAGUUAAGAUAUAUGCAGAAAAUUAAGCCUUUUUAUGCAAUUUUUCGAAGUUGCAACCUAUGAAUGAUACUCUCUGGCAUACUUUGAAUGAUGGAAUUCCUACAAGCUGCUUUCAGUGAUGG